rnacentral:rRNA from 1 species
GCCUGAGAUCGGCUACUACUUCUACGGGGGCGGCGGGGCGUAAAUUACUCAAUCUGAGAGGGAGGAGAAAGAAAGAUAUAACAACGUGAUUUUUAAUCUCGAUUGUAAUGAUGGUCUUCUUGAUAGAGCCUAUAGUACGAUAAGAGGGCAAGUCUGGUGCCAGCAGCCGCGGUAAUUCCAGCUCUAAUAGCGUAUAUUAAAGUUGCUGCAGUUAAAAAGCUCGUAUUGGAUUUCAGGGAAGGAUGCUCUCAUGAGUUUACAUCCUAUCAGACUUUGACUGUUAUGUUGAGAAAAUUAAAGUGUUCAGGCAGGCCUUAGCAAGAUUACUUUAGAUGGAAUAACGAAUGUUCCAGAACCUUGGUAAUCCAGGG